rnacentral:lncRNA from 10 species
AGCUAUCACAAACUCAAGUCAGUGAGUUGCUUACUAGCUUUUUUUUUUUUUUUUUGGUUUUGUUUUUUGUUUUUUUUGAGACGGAGUCUCGCUCCGGCCUUGAAGUGCAGUGGUGUGCUCUUCUCUCACUGCAGCCUCCGCCUCCCGGGUUCACGCAAUUCUUCUGCCUCAGCCUCCCGAAUAGCUGGGACUACAAGUGUGCGCCACCACGCCCGGCUAAUUUUUGUAUUUUUGGUGGAGACGGGAUUGCACCAUGUUGGCCAGGCUGGUCUCGAACUCCUGACCUCAGGUGAUCCACCCACCUCGGCCUCCCAAAGUGCUGGGAUUACAGGUGUGAGCCACCGCGCCCGGUCAGACGCGCUCGUUUCUAGGAGGGACGGUCUUGGAGGUUCCAAGGAGAAGGCGUCGCCUGGUCCCAGGAAGCGCCCAGGCGCCGCGUCCCUCCAUUUCCCGAUCUCCUGCGGGCCCCUCCCAGGGCGGGCUCCAGGCCUGUCCCGUGCGCCUGCGCACGAGCCUCGAGGUGGGCGGGGUUCCAGCGCGCAGCCGGCCGCCCUCAACCGCUCGCUCCCAGCAUCAGUUGCCGGUGGUUCGGGGCAGGGAGACGGCGCAGCGCGAGCAGAAAGGGCGGUUACCCAACGGCCUUCGCUCUCAUGGCGUCCUUCGUGGUGUUACCUAAAAAUAAAGUUAUUAGUGAUUAGAAGGUAUGUGAUAUGGUUAUUCGUUAGUACUUGGCGAUGUGAGAGACACUCCCCUUGUUUACAAAGCGGUGCCCAGCUGGUUUGUGCCAGUGGAGAACAUGGUGGACCAGCUCCUAAGGAACAAUGACCUGUGCUACCGAAGUUUUCAUGGGCUGAGCUGCUGAGUUCAGCCUGGGAACUGAGGCCAACACUGGAGUCUCCUCAGCACACAAGUUGGAAAGAAGUCCUAGUGACUUAAAACUCAGAAGCAUGGAUGGCAGGGCUCCCUCUGGAUGUGGAAUCCUCCGUCCCUUUCCAGGGAGGGAACAAAGCCCACAAGCACCG